CAGAACUGGCGAUGCGGGA
rnacentral:snRNA from 1 species